rnacentral:lncRNA from 1 species
ACGUUCCUGAAGAAGGACCCACUUUUUCCCCAAGUCAAUGGAUACAUAAACCUUGCCUUCCUUUGUGUAAGCGAGUACUUUGUCUUCUUCUUUUGGGUGGAAGAGAAGAGUUUCCACAAAGAAAGUAAUGGGCUGUUUCUGGAAUGUAGCUCCUUCAUCUGUGCUUAUGAAAAGGCUUUGGUCACGGUCAUUAUGGGAAGAACUUACAAGAAUGAUCUUUUUUUUGUUGGUGGGACAAAUGUAGAAAUUGUCGAUAACAGUGGCAAUCCCAGGCUGUAGAUUCAACUUUGUGUAUAACGUCCCAAAAUCUGAGGACCUCCACAAAGAGCUCUCCAGCACUUUUCCCAUGUCAGUAUGAUAGUACUUGGUAAGAAUCAGGAUCACAUUGCUUAUCUCCACAGUCCUUUUCUCAUAUUUUGGAAGAAAAAUCAUACUAAACAUAAGAUGUCAGGAUUGGUUCCC